GACGAACGCUGGCGGCGUGCUUAACACAUGCAAGUCGAACGGAAAGGCCCUGCUUUUGUGGGGUGCUCGAGUGGCGAACGGGUGAGUAACACGUGAGUAACCUGCCCUUGACUUUGGGAUAACUUCAGGAAACUGGGGCUAAUACCGGAUAGGAGCUCCUGCUGCAUGGUGGGGGUUGGAAAGUUUCGGCGGUUGGGGAUGGACUCGCGGCUUAUCAGCUUGUUGGUGGGGUAGGGGCUUACCAAGGCUUUGACGGGUAGCCGGCCUGAGAGGGUGACCGGCCACAUUGGGCCUGAGAUACGGCCCAGACUCCUACGGGAGGCAGCAGUGGGGAAUAUUGCACAAUGGGCGGAAGCCUGAUGCAGCGACGCCGCGUUCGUGAUGACGGCCUUCUGGUUGUAAACCGCUUUCGCCUGUGACGAAGCGUGAGUGACGGUAAUGGGUAAAGAAGCACCGGCUAACUACGUG
rnacentral:rRNA from 1 species